AGUGAACGCUGGCGGUAGGCCUAACACAUGCAAGUCGAACGGCAGCACAGUAAGAGCUUGCUCUUACGGGUGGCGAGUGGCGGACGGGUGAGGAAUACAUCGGAAUCUACUUUUUCGUGGGGGAUAACGUAGGGAAACUUACGCUAAUACCGCAUACGACCUACGGGUGAAAGCAGGAGAUCUUCGGACCUUGCGCGUUUGAAUGAGCCGAUGUCGGAUUAGCUAGUUGGCGGGGUAAAGGCCCACCAAGGCGACGAUCCGUAGCUGGUCUGAGAGGAUGAUCAGCCACACUGGAACUGAGACACGGUCCAGACUCCUACGGGAGGCAGCAGUAGGGAAUCUUGGACAAUGGGCGCAAGCCUGAUCCAGCCAUGCCGCGUGAGUGAAGAAGGCCUUCGGAUUGUAAAGCCCUUUUGUUGGGAAAGAAAAGCAGCAGGUUAAUACCCCGCUGUUCUGACGGUACCCAAAGAAUAAGCACCGGCUAACUUCGUG
rnacentral:rRNA from 1 species